rnacentral:rRNA from 1 species
UACGUAGGGUGCAAGCGUUAAUCGGAAUUACUGGGCGUAAAGCGUGCGCAGGCGGUUUUGUAAGUCUGUCGUGAAAUCCCCGGGCUUAACCUGGGAAUUGCGAUGGAGACUGCAAGGCUGGAGUCUGGCAGAGGGGGGUAGAAUUCCACGUGUAGCAGUGAAAUGCGUAGAGAUGUGGAGGAACACCGAUGGCGAAGGCAGCCCCCUGGGUCAAGACUGACGCUCAUGCACGAAAGCGUGGGGAGCCAAACAGG